rnacentral:lncRNA from 1 species
GCGGCUGCUUGGUUGGCAAUCUGACCAAUUUGAGUCUCCAACAUCUGCACUUGCUUGGACAGUGCUGAGAAUUUUUUUUCAAUAUGACCCACUUGGAACUCCAAAUUGGUCAUUCUUGUAUUAAUAGUUGUCUUCAUACUAGACAUCUCUGUUAACAUCUGCUGCAUCAUAUCCAACAUUUGAAAUUGAAUUUGCUCAAUAGUUGCCAUCGUAUGCAGUGUCUGAAAAAAACGAGAAAUAAAAAAAAAUAAAAAUAAAAAUAAAAAGAAACAGUAAACGCCUGAAGUACUACCUAGUCCUAUCAGAAAUAUUAAAGCAACUUCUAAUCAAUCCCCGACAACGGCGCCAAAAAGUUGAUCACUAAAUUAUUAGCACAAAAUACCGCAACUAACACGGUGCAAUUGUAGCAAAAAUAAUAAGUAACCGAAUAUCGUAUCCACAGGGAUUGACA